AUUCAUGCGUCAUUAUAGCUAUAUGAUGUCAAUGGACCUGUAUUUGUUGGCAUUAUAGUAUUAAAUAAACCAGAAUCAUUCCCUUGUAUUCUUUAACAGUUACAGGUUUUAAUCCAUAUUGGUACGUUCACAACAAAGGCGCUGCAGCUCAGCCAACUCGGCAUUGCGGAGCUCCUCAAAGGCCCUCUGCUGGGUCCUCAGACAGGCCAGCUCCUCCUCCUCCAUCACCUCCAGCAGAGACUGCUCAAUGGUCUUCCCCACCAGCACCUCCAGCAAGGGCUGCACUUCUCUGUCAAAGUCGAACAACUGCGGAAGACACUUAAAGCUGUUAAAUGUAGAAAUAUAGUACAGGUUGCACCCUGCAUGGUAUAUUGCUGCAAAGUCUAAAUCUGAUCUGGAGUACGUACACACGUGGGUAAGAUUUUUGGUACCCUUCUGUCCCAUUUAAAUCUAAAUUGAAUCUGACAAAAGUAAGAAAUUAAAAUGGAAUAAAAAAUAACCAAUGAAAACAUGAAGACAAUGAAGACAUUGCUUUUCAACAAAAUCAUUAAAAAAUGAUUAAAAGCCUUCAGUUGAUCUAUGUAUCACACUAAAUAUUGACUAGAGGAAGCAAAGGUGAGUCUCAUGAGAUUGGAAAGAUAAUUAUAGACAAGAAUAGGCUCAUGAUCUCCACAGCAGUUCCUUCUUUGACUACAUAACAGAAUAAUUUAGGAUCCAUGGGACUAUAGCCAGAAAUGAGAAAUUAAAGACAAAUUGAAGAGACGGAUAAUAUGAAUAGGCUACCAACAGUUUUGUUAAGUGGGAUUUAAGUAGUGUAACAUCAAAGCAACGUGACAGAAUAGAAGACGUUCAGAUUAAUGUGUUCCUUCUUGGCGUGUGUUGAAAACUGAAAACUGAGUUUAUGCUGCGCAUUGGGUUACUGCAGUGUUGCCGGGAGGAGUCUUUGAAAAGUAAAAACUUUGAAUGUGAUUUCAAUCUAAAAAAAUACCAGUACUUGUAUUGCUCAUGUUUGACAUGAGAGAUUGUGGAGAAUUUUUUUUAUGCGUGCGUACCUCCCCCUCUACUAUUUGUGUUGCAACAUCGUUGCCCGAUUUGGCGGGUAUAAAAAGCGGCGUUGCUGGUCUGUCCAGGAGAGGAUCAGUUUGACACUCGAUGUGUGAAACCUCAAUGUUGUAGCUCAACUCUUCCAGAUAAAGUUCUGAAAAGAAACAGAAAUGUAUAUUCCCAUCAUGGACUGAGGAAUGACUGACAAACGUGCUCCAAAGUUGAUAGGAAAACAAUUCACCCGUUUGCACAACAUUGUGCGUUCUGCCUUGUACGGCCUCCGGAGUGGAAGACCGCAGCUGUUCCUUGGUUUUCUUUUUUUGAACUGUGGCCCUCCUUAUUUCUUGGUGUCUUUGCAUUUCAGCGAGGUCUUCCUGCACCAUCUGUACAUUUGCACAGGAAAUAAGAAUGUUGCACAAAUCACUACCAAGGCAAAUUCCUCGCUUCCCUCCACUGUGCUGUAAAUGAGACCCCUGGGCCAUACGUUCCUUUUGAAUUCAUGAUAGGUCGGGAAAAGAUGAGCUCCAAUUUUGAGAACCACACCAAAAUGUUUUUGUGCACCCCUAUUUGUAAGUCCAAUGUAAUUUAUAUACUUACAGUUGAUAGAAAGCGUUGGGCAUAAGUGUUUCCCCUGAUGACACGGCGAUCAUACAUGAUGUUUCCAUAAGUACUGUGUGCCCUGUAGACAAAAUGUAAAUUAAAGGCUUGGCAUGUUGUGUUAUA